GAAGGGGGGUCUUCUCCUCAUUAUUGAUACGACUCGCUUGCUCAUCAAAUUUCCUUGAAGGAGGAGAGGAGGAAGGCAUUUAGACUGUGUCCUCUUUAAAUGCGCUGCAUUGACAGAUAAGCGAAUGAUGAAUUGUAUACACAGAGUGAAUGGUGCGCGCAAAGUUCAAGAAAGAGAUGCGGACGAGAGAACGUUCCAGGCUGGACCUUCGUACCGAAGGAAAUCGCAUCACGUUUCUUCCGUUUCACGUGAACCACACGUCUUCGAAGAAUUUGGUUUCUCGAACUAGCAAGGACAAAGUAACUAGACAAGGACAUUGCAAAUAAAAUGAAGGAUAUUAUUACACCUGCCUGACUAUGGAAAUCGAUAAAGUAAAUUCUUCAGAUUGAGUUGAUAAAAAGAAUAGAAAGUAUAAAUGCAUAUUUUAUGAAAACAGUGUUGCGACUUUGCUUUAAUGAAAUAGCUUAUAGUUAUUAUACAUACUUGCUAUUCUUCGUCCCACCCCCAAGUAAAAAAGAUAAAAAAAAUCUUGAAAAUGAUACACAAUAAAACUUGUAGAUUAUGACCGCAGUGCUUGUAAAGUUAUGUUCAAAUAAAAUUCAUACAAAAUA